AUUGAACGCUGGCGGCAGGCUUAACACAUGCAAGUCGAACGAGUGGCGGACGGGUGAGUAAUGCUUGGGAAUCUAGCUUAUGGAGGGGGAUAAUUAAGGGAAACUGUAGCUAAUACCGCGUACCAUAGGAUGAGCCCUAGUGGUAUGAGGUAGUUGGUUAGGUAAAGGCGCACCAAGCCGACGAUCUCUAGCUGGUCUGAGAGUAUGACCAGCCACACUGUGCUGGUGCUACGGCCCAGACUCCGACGGGAGGGCGCAGUGGGGAGUAUUGCGCAAGGGGGGGAACCUGACGCGGCCAUGCCGCGUGAAUGAAGAAGGCGUUCGGGUUGUAAAGUUCUUUCGGUAGCGAGGCGUUACCUGCAGAAGAAGCACCGGCUAACUCCGUGCCAGCCGCCGCGGUAAUUC
rnacentral:rRNA from 1 species